GGGGGUAUAGUUCAGCGGUAGAGCAUUUCACUGCAGAUCGAGAGGUCCCGGUUCAAACCCGGGUGCCCCCU
rnacentral:tRNA from 1 species